CAGUCGCCACGGUAAUACGUAGGUGGCAAGCGUUGUCCGGAAUUAUUGGGCGUAAAGGGCUCGCAGGCGGUUUCUUAAGUCUGAUGUGAAAGCCCCCGGCUCAACCGGGGAGGGUCAUUGGAAACUGGGAAACUUGAGUGCAGAAGAGGAGAGUGGAAUCCCACGUGUAGCGGUGAAAUGCGUAGAGAUGUGGAGGAACACCAGUGGCGAAGGCGACUCUCUGGUCUGUAACUGACGCUGAGGAGCGAAAGCGUGGGGAGCGAACAGGAUUAGAUACCCCAGUAGUCCCUGUCUCUUAUAC
rnacentral:rRNA from 1 species